UACGAAGGGGGCGAGCGUUGUUCAGAAUUACUGGGCGUAAGGGCGCGUAGGCGGCGACUCAAGUUAGAUGUGAAAGUCCUGGGCUUAACCUGAGGACUGCAUUUGAUACUGGGUUGCUUGAAUUCGGGAGAGGAUAGCGGAAUUCCCAGUGUAGAGGUGAAAUUCGUAGAUAUUGGGAAGAACACCGGUGGCGAAGGCGGCUAUCUGGACCGACAUUGACGCUGAGGCGCGAAAGCGUGGGGAGCAAACAGG
rnacentral:rRNA from 1 species